GUGUCAAUCACACAAGGGUUUGUUAUGGCAGACAACAUCACUCAGAGGAAAAAAACACAGUAUCGGUUUCUUACAACAUACACAACAAAUAACAAUGAUUAUAACAAUGCCACGCGCAAGUACUGUUGUCAGAACUAAGGGAUCCCAAAUUACCAUGAGCUGAGAUAUAUUUAUCUCGCCACUAACCCAAGCUUGAGCCUUCCCUUGGGCGAGUACAAAGAUUCUUUACCUUGCGUAGGACAUCUCCUCACGACUUACAGGUAUCCCCUUCGUUACAAUUAAAACAUACCUGGUGCAUCAAUUGAUGGUCCUCGUCUAUCCCCGCAGUGAUCUGGUCGACUGGGAGAGUCCUCCCGAGAAGUCUCGCCCAGAGGAGUCCCGUCCUCAGCAGGUCCUGCAGAGGGGCAGAGAGGGUCCCAUCAGGGCUGCCAAACUGACGCGCGGAAACAAACCUUACAACUCGAGGGGGGUUUAUAAAGCAGCACGGACACAGCCGAGAUGAUCCCGCCCGGGGUCCCCUCAAAGCUGGGGGGGGGGCCGAGUGGAGGGGGGGUUCCUACGACCGCUUCCGGGUCGGGCCCCGCAAGGGGAGGGGGAGCAGGGCCGGUCCCAGAGCACUUCCGGGUGACGGGCAGGUGCCGCGUCUCUCGGCCGUUACGACCGUUAUGGCCGUUGCUCCCCUGCCGGUCCCGCGGCCGCCCCGGUGCGCUGCCAGCUCGCCCCCCGCCCCGGGCUGCCGGGCGGCGCCGCCCAGCCCAGCUCCCGGGAGGCCGCGGCCUGCGGGCCCCGGUGGCCGAGGCAGCUAUGGGAGUUACGCUUCUGCUAGCAAGACCUUCCUUCUUGGCUUGGAAACACGCCUACAGCAGGGAUUCCCAAGCUGGGUUACCCCACACGUCAGCCGCUCUGAUGAAGUGCAGGAGCUCUGAAUACCAGCAAGAGCACCCGUGAGUACCGAUCGAUGGCAGCCAUGCGUGUGCGCAGCCGGGGAGUCAGCCUUCCCCCCCAUCCAUCCCCUGCUCCUCAUCGCACGGGCAGUGGUACCCACCCGCGGUCCGGAGCGAUGCCACAGGUCACAUACCUGUGAUGGGUAUUCCAUCUAAAGAUGCAUGUGUGUAUUUCACUGGACUUGCAAACGUGCCUGACUUUUACUGAUUUAUUUCUUUUUGAUGAGUAUCUGUUACAUGAAACAUAUGGGUACAUCUUCCUUCCAGUGUCUAUUCCUUUUGUCCCACAUCUCUGGGUUAUAUCAACCUGUUCUGCCACUUCUGGCCUCCACUGGCGGGAACUGCUGCUUGCCCACUAGAUGGCAUUCUGAAAUCUGUACUGGGGAUGAUAUUCACCCAGGCGUGGAGAUCAGUCUUGGUUUCUCUGUAAAACACUUUAAAAAUAAAUGCAAUGGAGGUAACGCCA
rnacentral:lncRNA from 1 species